UAGUGGCGAACGGGUGAGUAACACGUGGGCAAUCUGCCCUGCACUCUGGGACAAGCCCUGGAAACGGGGUCUAAUACCGGAUAUGACCAUCUUGGGCAUCCUUGAUGGUGUAAAGCUCCGGCGGUGCAGGAUGAGCCCGCGGCCUAUCAGCUUGUUGGUGAGGUAACGGCUCACCAAGGCGACGACGGGUAGCCGGCCUGAGAGGGCGACCGGCCACACUGGGACUGAGACACGGCCCAGACUCCUACGGGAGGCAGCAGUGGGGAAUAUUGCACAAUGGGCGAAAGCCUGAUGCAGCGACGCCGCGUGAGGGAUGACGGCCUUCGGGUUGUAAACCUCUUUCAGCAGGGAAGAAGCGAAAGUGACGGUACCUGCAGAAGAAGCGCCGGCUAACUACGUGCCAGCAGCCGCGGUAAUACGUAGGGCGCGAGCGUUGUCCGGAAUUAUUGGGCGUAAAGAGCUCGUAGGCGGCUUGUCACGUCGGUUGUGAAAGCCCGGGGCUUAACCCCGGGUCUGCAGUCGAUACGGGCAGGCUAGAGUUCGGUAGGGGAGAUCGGAAUUCCUGG
rnacentral:rRNA from 1 species